GAUGAACGCUGGCGGCGUGCCUAAUACAUGCAAGUCGAGCGAACGGACGAGAAGCUUGCUUCUCUGAUGUUAGCGGCGGACGGGUGAGUAACACGUGGAUAACCUACCUAUAAGACUGGGAUAACUUCGGGAAACCGGAGCUAAUACCGGAUAAUAUUUUGAACCGCAUGGUUCAAAAGUGAAAGACGGUCUUGCUGUCACUUAUAGAUGGAUCCGCGCUGCAUUAGCUAGUUGGUAAGGUAACGGCUUACCAAGGCAACGAUGCAUAGCCGACCUGAGAGGGCGAUCGGCCACACUGGAACUGAGACACGGUCCAGACUCCUACGGGAGGCAGCAGUAGGGAAUCUUCCGCAAUGGGCGAAAGCCUGACGGAGCAACGCCGCGUGAGUGAUGAAGGUCUUCGGAUCGUAAAACUCUGUUAUUAGGGAAGAACAUAUGUGUAAGUAACUGUGCACAUCUUGACGGUACCUAAUCAGAAAGCCACGGCUAACUACGUGCCAGCAGCCGCGGUAAUACGUAAGUGGCAAGCGUUAUCCGGAAUUAUUGGGCGUAAAGGCGCGCGUAGGCGGUUUUUUAAGUCUGAUGUGAAAGCCCACGGCUCAACCGUGGAGGGUCAUUGGAAACCGGAAAACUUGAGUGCAGAAGAGGAAAGUGGAAUUCCAUGUGUAGCGGUGAAAUGCGCAGAGAUAUGGAGGAACACCAGUGGCGAAGGCGACUUUCUGGUCUGUAACUGACGCUGAUGUGCGAAAGCGUGGGGAUCAAACAGGAUUAGAUACCCUGGUAGUCCACGCCGUAAACGAUGAGUGCUAAGUGUUAGGGGGUUUCCGCCCCUUAGUGCUGCAGCUAACGCAUUAAGCACUCCGCCUGGGGAGUACGACCGCAAGGUUGAAACUCAAAGGAAUUGACGGGGACCCGCACAAGCGGUGGAGCAUGUGGUUUAAUUCGAAGCAACGCGAAGAACCUUACCAAAUCUUGACAUCCUUUGACUACUCUAGAGAUAGAGCUUUCCCCUUCGGGGGACAAAGUGACAGGUGGUGCAUGGUUGUCGUCAGCUCGUGUCGUGAGAUGUUGGGUUAAGUCCCGCAACGAGCGCAACCCUUAAGCUUAGUUGCCAUCAUUAAGUUGGGCACUCUAAGUUGACUGCCGGUGACAAACCGGAGGAAGGUGGGGAUGACGUCAAAUCAUCAUGCCCCUUAUGAUUUGGGCUACACACGUGCUACAAUGGACAAUACAAAGGGCAGCGAAACCGUGAGGUCAAGCAAAUCCCAUAAAGUUGUUCUCAGUUCGGAUUGUAGUCUGCAACUCGACUACAUGAAGCUGGAAUCGCUAGUAAUCGUAGAUCAGCAUGCUACGGUGAAUACGUUCCCGGGUCU
rnacentral:rRNA from 1 species